AUGCUCUGCCCCACCACUCCUGUCCCAGUAAGUAAAAGCCUUCUGGUUGGGGCUUGGUACCUGGCACUGAGAUCAAUUUAGAAGUUCCCAGUUCCAUUCAGAGGCUCCAUGAUGCUCCAUGAAUUAAAUACCACCUACCAUGGCCAGACAUUGCCAGACCUUUCAGAGACACCACCAGGCAUCAGGGUCGAGCAGUCUCUCUACUGUGUCAUUGCCCUUAUUUUUGUGGAAUAAAAUAAGCCAAGAGAUAAUUAA